rnacentral:rRNA from 1 species
GACGAACGCUGGCGGCGUGCUUAACACAUGCAAGUCGAACGAUGAAGCCGGAGCUUGCUCCGGUGGAUUAGUGGCGAACGGGUGAGUAACACGUGAGCAAUCUGCCCUUGACUCUGGGAUAACUGCGGGAAACUGUAGCUAAUACCGGAUACGACACCUUGGGGCAUCCCAGGGUGUGGAAAGAAUUUCGGUCAAGGAUGAGCUCGCGGCCUAUCAGCUAGUUGGUGAGGUAAUGGCCUACCAAGGCGACGACGGGUAGCCGGCCUGAGAGGGUGACCGGCCACACUGGAACUGAGACACGGUCCAGACUCCUACGGGAGGCAGCAGUGGGGAAUUUUGGACAAUGGACGAAAGUCUGAUCCAGCAACGCUGCGUGAAGGACGAAGGUUUUCGGAUUGUAAACUUCUUUUGCAGGGGAAGAAAAAAAUGACGGUACCCUGUGAAUAAGCCACGGCUAACUACGUGCCAGCCGCCGCAGUAA